GCUCCGGUCGUCUAGUCCGGUCAAAGCUUGUUGGCGCGAUCAAGGAUAGUGGCCUCUCGAGUCACCGACACGGGUUCGAAUCCCGUCCGGAGCA
rnacentral:tRNA from 1 species